rnacentral:rRNA from 1 species
CAGCCGCCGCGGUAAUACAGAGGGUGCGAGCGUUAAUCGGAUUUACUGGGCGUAAAGCGUGCGUAGGCGGCUUCUUAAGUCGGAUGUGAAAUCCCUGAGCUUAACUUAGGAAUUGCAUUCGAUACUGGGAAGCUAGAGUAUGGGAGAGGAUGGUAGAAUUCCAGGUGUAGCGGUGAAAUGCGUAGAGAUCUGGAGGAAUACCGAUGGCGAAGGCAGCCAUCUGGCCUAAUACUGACGCUGAGGUACGAAAGCAUGGGGAGCAAACAGGAUUAGAUACCCGGGUAGUCCCUGUCUCUUAUAA